rnacentral:rRNA from 1 species
CCUACGGGAGGCAGCAGUGAGGAAUAUUGGUCAAUGGGCGCGAGCCUGAACCAGCCAAGUCGCGUGAGGGAAGACGGUCCUAUGGCUUGUAAACCUCUUUUGUCGGGGAGCAAAAGACGCCACGCGUGGCGUUCCGAGAGUACCCGAAGAAAAAGCAUCGGCUAACUCCGUGCCAGCAGCCGCGGUAAUACGGAGGAUGCGAUCGUUAUCCGGAUUUAUUGGGUUUAAAGGGUGCGCAGGGUGAAGAUCAUGUCAUCGGUAAAAUUGAGAGGCUCAACCUCUUCGAGCCGUUGAAACUGGUAUUCUUGAGUGAGGGAGAAGUAUGCGGAAUGCGUGGUGUAGCGGUGAAAUGCAUAGAUAUCACGCAGAACUCCGAUUGCGAAGGCAGCAUACCGGCGCUCAACUGACGCUCAUGCACGAAAGUGUGGGUAUCGAACAGGAUUAGAUACCCUAGUAGUC